CUAUGUCUACGGUGAUGUUUCCAAAAAAAACGAAGCCCUAGGAUGGCAUGGCGAUCUAAUCCGAACUUCCAGCCUAGGGUUCAGGUCGUGUGCAGAAUACGUUGUCAAGCCUGAUCUGAACAACAACAACUGAGUCGUCAGACGGCAAGGCGAUCUAAUUAAGCCAAAUUUCCAGCCUAGGGUUCAGGUUCUGUCCAGAAUUCACCGUCAAGCCUGAUCUGCAAGUUGUCACCUGGCGAUAUGUUUGUGCCAAACUCAUCUUCACUCACGAGGUUCUGUUGCUACCCUCUAGGCUUAUUUCCUGUGAGGAAACAAGCGGCCGCUAAGAGUAGAUGAUUCUACAGGCAGCUGAUAUGCACAUACGGGGUCGCUGGUAUAUCCUAGAAGAUGAUGCAGAUGAAUCUAUAUCAGUGAAUUAAGUUUACAGCAACAAACUAUUUCUGGAGGUAAAUCCUUAUACGGUCGCCAUGACCAAUCUGUAAGGAUGCCAGCAGCCGCCGCCAAAAUUCACUUAUCCAUAAUCGGCUGCACAACAUGCAAAGGAGGAAGCCGAAAGAAUGAGCGGUAUUUGAAGUUUACAGGCCAUGCCAAUGUAGGUUUCAAGUCCUGGGAGCACACUAGAGUCCAAAGUUUGGAACUAGCUAUGAAGAUCCUUGUCACUCAACGUGAACAAUAUUUCCUCUGGAACUCAUUGGGAGAAAGCUAUUUAUCACGAUAUACUUGGCCUCCUCCACGAAGUUCAUCACUAACA